rnacentral:rRNA from 2 species
GGGUUGUGAGGUUAAGCGACUAAGCGUACACGGUGGAUGCCCUGGCAGUCAGAGGCGAUGAAGGACGUGCUAAUCUGCGAAAAGCGUCGGUAAGGUGAUAUGAACCGUUAUAACCGGCGAUGUCCGAAUGGGGAAACCCAGUGCAAUUCGUUGCACUAUCGUUAACUGAAUACAUAGGUUAACGAGGCGAACCGGGGGAACUGAAACAUCUAAGUACCCCGAGGAAAAGAAAUCAACCGAGAUUCCCCCAGUAGCGGCGAGCGAACGGGGAGCAGCCCAGAGUCUGAAUCAGCUUGUGUGUUAGUGGAACGGUCUGGAAAGUCCGACGGUACAGGGUGAUAGUCCCGUACACCAAAAUGCACAGGCUGUGAACUCGAAGAGUAGGGCGGGACACGUGGUAUCCUGUCUGAAUAUGGGGGGACCAUCCUCCAAGGCUAAAUACUCCUGACUGACCGAUAGUGAACCAGUACCGUGAGGGA